GAUGAACGCUGGCGGCGUGCCUAAUACAUGCAAGUCGAGCGAACAGACGAGGAGCUUGCUCCUCUGACGUUAGCGGCGGACGGGUGAGUAACACGUGGAUAACCUACCUAUAAGACUGGGAUAAAUUCGGGAAACCGGAGCUAAUACCGGAUAAUAUAUUGAACCGCAUGGUUCAAUAGUGAAAGACGGUUUUGCUGUCACUUAUAGAUGGAUCCGCGCCGCAUUAGCUAGUUGGUAAGGUAACGGCUUACCAAGGCAACGAUGCGUAGCCGACCUGAGAGGGUGGUCGGCCACACUGGAACUGAGACACGGUCCAGACUCCUACGGGAGGCAGCAGUAGGGAAUCUUCCGCAAUGGGCGAAAGCCUGACGGAGCAACGCCGCGUGAGUGAUGAAGGUCUUCGGAUCGUAAAACUCUGUUAUUAGGGAAGAACAAAUGUGUAAGUAACUAUGCACGUCUUGACGGUACCUAAUCAGAAAGCCACGGCUAACUACGUG
rnacentral:rRNA from 1 species